rnacentral:lncRNA from 1 species
CCUGUCAGUUAUGGGACUCCGAAUCCUCCUGCUGAAAGUAGCCGGAUUUAACCUGCUCAUGACGCUGAGGCUGUGGUCCAGUUGAGGUCUGCAAGACUGACAGAGCCUGACUCCCAAGCUCCAUCCUCCUCACCCCUCCGCUCCUUCUUCAAGCCAAAAGGAGCCCUCCCACCUCGUCAAGACGGCUGUCUGGGGUCUGGUUGGCCCUGAUUCACAAUCCCACCUGGAUCUCCCAGAUUUGUGAGGAAGGUUGCUGGAGAGCUAAGCACUGCUGCCGCACCCACUCAGCUCCCUCACUGCUGCUGACCAUUCACAAAAAACGGCAGGGGCGGGGCUUCUCCUGGAUCUGAAGACCCCUCCCCCAUGGCAGACUCCCCUGUAAAAUCUCUUGGAGAAUGUUGUAAAAAAAAUAUCGGUUGUUUUUUGUUUUUUUUUUUUUUGCGGGUUUAUUUUUUUAAGCAUCCAUGAAGAAAUGCAUAUUACUCUUUCAUCAAGGUGUAGAAAUUAUCUCAUUG